UCCUCGCCUCUUCUCCAAGCUUGAAACUUGCACCAGCAGUGUAGUGAGACUGUUGUCUCUUUUGGAUUCAUUCUCUCUCCACUGUGCAGUGAAAAGUGCCCCCAGGCUGGAAUCCAGUCCAGAAACAGACAAUGUGAAAAUACUUUCACUUCAACCCCAUGAAGAUUACAUAGAAGAAAAUGCCAGAUGAAGUUCCUUAUUGUUUCUCAUUCACAGAAUUUAUUUCCACUAAGUUAUUAAAAAAAUGGGCAAAAGAAAGUGGAACUUCAACUGUUCCUUAGGACAAUACGGACUUGUGUUUUUGAAGAAGCAAAGUGGAAAUGAUUAGGCAGCAGGGACUCUUUGCAGAAAAACGUAAGGAGCAAAGAAAAAUUUCUCAGAAAAGGAGAUUUGAAGCACAAUUGUCAUCAGUUCACAGAAGAAUUUUGAAGUUCUGUUUCCAGAGGCCUCUCUCUGCCUGCCCAGAGACUGUACAUCUUCAGAGAUGAGCAAAACUCUGCACUCUGCAAAAUCAGCACCCUCUGUCUAAUCAAAAGUUAACUUGGCCCAGGUUUUAGUUUCUCUGUAAGUUUUGUUGGAAAGUAAUAUAAUAAAUCUUAUUACAAGAUACAGCUGAUUAUGUAUACAUUAUGUCUUUGGAGAAAUUUGCAUUUUAAGAGGAAGGUCAAGGAUGCCUUAAUUACAAACAUUGCAUUUUUGGUUAUUUAAAUAGUAUCUGGGAAAACGGUGAAGAUAUAUAGGAAGUUAAGAAAGAUACCUGUAUCUACCACGUGUGAAAGAUUAUCUCAGUAAAUAGAAUUGGCUACAUAUUCAUCUAUUAUAAUAAUACCAAAAAAGAAGAUAUAUAUCUUCAAAGCGUCACAAUUUUUGUAGUCAGCAAAAUGAAUGGCAAAGAUAAUGAGAGAAUAAAGAUACAAAAAUGAGUAUUUAAAAAUAGAAUUCCAAUGGGAAAACUGUUAAUUUUAAAAAUUAUAUGUAAAGAUGAGGUUGCUGUUAAGCAUUUUACACC
rnacentral:lncRNA from 1 species